UUUUAUUUGAGAGUUUGAUCCUGGCUCAGGAUGAACGCUGGCGGCGUGCCUAACACAUGCAAGUUGAGCGAUUUACUUCGGUAAAGAGCGGCGGACGGGUGAGUAACGCGUGGGUAACCUACCCUGUACACACGGAUAACAUACCGAAAGGUAUGCUAAUACGGGAUAAUAUAUUUGAGAGGCAUCUCUUGAAUAUCAAAGGUGAGCCAGUACAGGAUGGACCCGCGUCUGAUUAGCUAGUUGGUAAGGUAACGGCUUACCAAGGCGACGAUCAGUAGCCGACCUGCGAGGGUGAUCGGCCACAUUGGAACUGAGACACGGUCCAAACUCCUACGGGAGGCAGCAGUGGGGAAUAUUGCACAAUGGGCGAAAGCCUGAUGCAGCAACGCCGCGUGAGUGAUGAAGGCCUUCGCGUC
rnacentral:rRNA from 1 species